rnacentral:lncRNA from 1 species
UUUCUAGGAGCAUUUACUUACUCUAGACUGCUGGCUUUCCUUGUGUACUCUUGCUCUUAUAUCUGGACAGCAAUUGGACAAUUCUUCCUCUUUGCAAAACAAAAGCCUGGCUGAGGUUUACAGAAGCAGAACUGCUGCUCAUUCAUCACAUUUGCAGAGGAUGGCACGUCUAGUAGCCUGCCAGGUGGAAAUCUGCUGACUUCACACCCCAUCAGACAGGAUUCCUGCAGACGUAACUCCACCACCACACUACAGUGCUAUCUUCCACUUUUUAGGAGAGAAGCAGCAGGCUGCAAACUCAGCCAGAUAAAACUGGGAUGAGUUACACGUGGGUUGGUGAAUGUGAACGUUUUGUUUUUUUUUUUAAGCUGCGAUUUUGUCACCGUUGAAUGAUGCCAGGAGCUGCAACCUUAAACAGAAGGCUGUUUUCUGCCUAGCUCUGCUUGCAUGCUAUCUAAAGAGGGAAAAUGAUCUGAACAAAAUUAAAAUAACUAGCAUUGAGAUGGAUCUUCUUCUGGUGAUUGCAGUUCUGUUUCACAAUGGGGUGUAAAUUCAAGAGGACAUGGAGGAGAAAAGGAGGAAAAAAAAGAGGUUUCUACUGGAAGCGUAUACACAGCAGCAACAAAGACAAGUUUUCAGGUGAUGUCCAUGAAAAGACUUCACUGUCACCAAAUACCAGUGAAGGGAAAAGAAUAAGGCUGAUCAAGCCCUGCAUGAGUUGUUUGGACACAGGAUCUGGAAAUAAGGGAUGGAUUCUGCUCAUUUCUCUGUCCCUUCCUUGGCUUAAAAGGUCAGGCAGACUGAGGGAGUAAAAAAGACUUGGCUCUUUUUGCCAAGGGUGUUGGGGCAACCUAGAAGGGUUUUAUUUUCUUCUGACUGUUGUUCACAGUUGCUGCUAUAAGACAGUGUUGAUUACUACACUAGGGAAUAAGAGGAGAAAAGGGA